GGGUUAGUAGGUUGGUCGUGCCUCUGGUAUGUACUGGCUUUACUGAUUCCUCCUUCUUGAAGAACUGUAAUGUCAUUAAUUUGGUGUUGCAGGGAAACAGGACUGUUACUUUGAAAAAAUUAGAGUGUUUAAAGCAGGCUAACGCUUGAAUACAUUAGCAUGGAAUAAUGAAAUAGGACGUUUGAUCCUAUUUUGUUGGUUUCUAGGAUUGACGUA
rnacentral:rRNA from 1 species